rnacentral:antisense_RNA from 1 species
AAUUUAAAUCAUUUAAUUAUUUAAUUAUUUUUAUUAAAAAUUUUUGACCUUUAUUUUAGGUUCAGGGGUACAUGUGCAGGUUUGUUACAUGGGUAUAUUGCAUGAUGCUGAGGUUUAAUUUUGUACUUUCCUUGCUGUUCCUCAUUUUCUUCAAUUCUACAUUUAUUAAGCAUGCACUCUGUAUUUUUUUCUCACUAUAACAUUGCCAGUCCUCCUUCCUUUCCUCUCUUCCUCCCUCCCUUCUCUCUUUUCUUCCUUCCAUUCCUUUCUUCCUAACUCUCUCCUCUUCUUUUUCAUAAGAGUGAAGAUAUUAAAAAAAAAAAUCAAGCCUAAGUGUGUUGAAAACCUCUGAGAAAAGGAGGUUUAGAAACCUGAGAAAAGGAGGUUUAGAAACCUUAGAAAGACCACAGGGUUAAUUUUGUGACCUAUUUUUAUUUACAGUAGGGCAUAUUAAAAACAAAUUCUUUUUUGUUAACAUUCAGAAUCAGAGGUGGGGAGAGUGGUGGAAGGGCCUGUGGACUUACGGAUGCUGCUGCGACACUCUAUGACCUCAGACUGCAAGUAAGAGCCAAUCCCGAAGCGGUUUGUUGCAGCCACACGGAACACAUACUCAUUUCCUUCAAGAAUAGACACCUUGAUGGCUCCUCUGGCAGUUCUUGAUGACCAUGGAUGAGCUAAUGGCUGUGGUCUCAAUGGUGGCUUCUUGAG